AUUUCGACAAAACGAUAUAGAUAAAGAUCUGCAAAACUCUGAAAAGAUUAAGCAACGAUCAAUUUCCCAUCGCUAGUAACUGAAACAUAUUCAAAGAAAAGAUGAAGAAACAGCAUAACUCUUAGUGUCAAAACACGAUAAAAGGCUCGUAAUGUUGAUUUCCGUCGCCAAAAAAUUCCCGAUUCCUCAAGCAACUAUGAAAGCCUAUAUAAAAUUCACAUACGAGUAAUCUCUGAUGUUUUUCCUUUUUUGGCAAACAUUCCAUUACAGACUUGAGAUGCCAUAAUAUCCUCAGUCUACAAAAUUAUUGCAAUUAGUUAGCGUCCAAUAUUCUACUCUGGAUUCCGACUAUCAACCACUAUAAUCCACGUACCAAAAGACUUUUAUUAUCGGAAGCAUUUACAAUGAAGAAAUGCAAAAAGCAUAUAAACCCUACAAGAGCCGACUUUAAAAUCGCCAUUUUGGAGCUUGGUUCUUGUUCGGUUGUUCAGAUCAACUGCGUAAGGGGUACGAAAGGCGCUGCUCGUUUAG